ACUGUGAGGCAAGUAGACGGGCGUGGAUCAGCGCCAUUCAGAACCUGACUGAGAGAGAAGAAGAAUCAGUCGAGAGCGAGAAGGAGUACAAGGACGAUUCGAAAUCAGACUCCAGUGAGACGUUAUUGGACAGGGAGAUUCAGUUGGAGGACUCACAGGAACCGCGGGCGUCUUCUGAAGCUCCAGGUGGGAUCAGUUCUGGAGAAGUCAUCUGUGAUGCUCCCGAGAACAAGGAUGCUGAAGGAAAAACCACCAACGGAGAAGGUCAAGAGGAAAAGACGAUCGACACGAACCCGGACAGCCGAUACACCCUUGGAGAGCUGCUGGGAAAGGAAGACUGCGGUUCAGUCUAUGAAGGAGACCAUAAGGCAGAUGUG